rnacentral:lncRNA from 1 species
AAAGGUUCAAGGCUCUCGUUCAUGCUUCCAACACUGCAGAUAACCUGAAGAGAGCCGUGGAUGAAGUGGACGACUCGGUCGUGGCCGACCACCAAAUGCAAGUGUGCAUGGCGAGGAUCAACAACCUGUCCAGCAAACUCCGUCAGCGGGCGUACAUGAUGGCUCUGAGCAAACUGCGGCUGGCCAGGCGGAAUACGCAAGAGUCCAUCUGUCAGCUCCAUGAGACGAUCGGCCUGAUCGAACAGGCUCAAAGUGGAGGGGAACUCGAGAGCAACAGGAGGAUUUCCGUAUGUGUACAAUGGGCUACCAAGCGCGACUCGAAUCCUGCCCAGGAUGAAGAGAGUUCCCUGCCCAGUAAAGUUGAGAUCCCGAGGACUGAAAGCAAAGCGGCAGAGCCAUCUCUAUCCCCAGUGGCUCAGUUCAGUGUGACAGAGAUGCCCCAAAGCCCUGUCAAACAGAGCAGCAUGAUGGAAAUACCCCAAAUACCUCUGGCACAGAGCACCGUGGUGGAAGCCCCUCAGGAGCCUGUUGCAGAAAUCAGCAUUGUGGAUGAACCUGAAAUGCCUCCUUCACCACCACCGAUCAGCCUCCAUGAGGAACCAAAGACCCCUCCACCAACACCACCGAUCAGCCCCGAUGAGGAACCACAGAUCCCUCUUCCACCACUGCUGAUCAACCCUGUUGAGGAGCCAAAGAUUCCCCCUCCACCACCACCACCACCGAUCAGUCACCCAGAGAAGGCUCCUACACCACCUUUGGAGGACCACCUCCACAGAGAUGUGGCGCACAUCACUUUAACCGUACCUGGUUGUGACGAUGAGGAGUUUGGUGUGCCCGCCUACCAAGAGAAGUGCAAGCCAGUCUCCGAAGUAGGUUCUCCUGGGAGUUUCAAGACUUAGCUUGUCUCUAGGAGUGGUUUGGAAUUCUGGGAACAGUAGUUCUGGAACGGGCAGAGAACGGAAUGCUGGAGGACUACAGUUUGAGAGCCACAGAUUUACAACUAUCUAUACUCCCAGUCUUAAGUCUCUCAGCAUUUGUCAAGAGAUACGUCAUGGAGGCGUCCAUUUUAUUUACGGACCAGAUUUCUAUAGCCACCCAAUAACCCAAGUUCUCCAGGCAGCUUAGAAACAAA